UACGGAGGGUGCAAGCGUUAUCCGGAUUUACUGGGUUUAAAGGGUGCGUAGGCGGACUAUUAAGUCAAAUGUGAAAGCUUGCAGCUCAACUGUAAGAUUGCGUUUGAUACUGGUAGUCUUGAAUAUGGUAGAAGUUGGCGGAAUAAAUCAUGUAGCGGUGAAAUGCUUAGAUAUGAUUUAGAACACCGAUUGCGAAGGCAGCUAGCUAUGUCAUAAUUGACGCUGAGGCACGAAAGCGUGGGGAUCAAACAGG
rnacentral:rRNA from 1 species